rnacentral:rRNA from 1 species
UACGUAGGGUGCAAGCGUUUGUCCGGAAUUAUUGGGCGUAAAGAGCUCGUAGGCGGUUUGUCGCGUCUGCUGUGAAAACCCGAGGCUCAACCUCGGGCCUGCAGUGGGUACGGGGCAGACUAGAGUGCGGUAGGGGGAGAUUGGAAUUCCUGGUGUAGCGGUGGAAUGCGCAGAUAUCAGGAGGAACACCGAUGGCGAAGGCAGAUCUCUGGGCCGUAACUGACGCUGAGGAGCGAAAGCAUGGGGAGCGAACAGG